GGGAUGGAAGAUGGCGAGAAAAGCUGUGUGAAUUUCUGCGGUGCCCGUACCGCAAACCGACACAGGUAGGUAGGAAGAAGAUUCUAAGGCCAACGGGAGAAGGGUUGUUAAGGAACUCGGCAAAUUGACCCCGUAGCUUCGGGAGAAGGGGUGCUGCAGCAAUGCAGCCGCAGAGAAUCGGCCCAAGCAACUGUUUACCAAAAACACAGGUUUGUGCUAAAUCGAAAGAUGACGUAUACGAGCUGACGCCUGCCCGGUGCUGGAAGGUUAAGAGGAGAUGUGCAAGCAUUGAAUCGAAGCCCCAGUGAACGGCGGCCGUAACUAUAACGGUCCUAAGGUAGCGAAAUUCCUUGUCAGGUAAGUUCUGACCCGCAUGAAAGGCGUAAUGAUUUGGGCACUGUCUCAACAGCCCGCCCGGCGAAAUUGUAGUACCGGUGAAGAUGCCGGUUACCCGCGACAAGACGGAAAGACCCCAUGGAGCUUUACUGUAGCCUAAUAUUGGGUUUCGAUGUUGCAUGCACAGGAUAGAUGGGACACAGGGAAGCAGGUGCUUUGGCGCUUGUGGAGUGGCCGUUGGGAUACCAUCCUUGCGAUAUUGGAAUUCUAACCUGCGCCUUUGAAUCAAGGCGGGGGACAUUGUUAGGUGGGCAGUUUGACUGGGGCGGUCGCCUCCUAAAGAGUAACGGAGGCGUUCAAAGGUUCGCUCAGCUUGAACGGAAAUCAAGCAAAAGAGUGCAAACGCAGAAGCGAGCCUAACUGCGAGACUGACGGGUCGAGCAGUAACGAAAGUUGGAGUUAGUGAUCCGGUGGUAUGUGAGUGGAAAUGCCAUCGCUCAACGGAUAAAAGUUACCCUGGGGAUAACAGGCUGAUCUCCCCCAAGAGUCCACAUCGACGGGGAGGUUUGGCACCUCGAUGUCGGCUCAUCGCAUCCUGGGGCUGUAUUCGGUCCCAAGGGUUUGGCUGUUCGCCAAUUAAAGCGGUAUGCGAGCUGGGUUCAGAACGUCGUGAGACAGUUCGGUCCCUAUCUGUCGUGGGCGCAGGAUAUUUGAUGGGAGCUGUUCCUAGUACGAGAGGACCGGAGCGGACGUACCUCUGGCGCACCAGUUGUUCUGCCAAGAGCAUAGCUGGGCAACUAUGUACGGAUCGGAUAAACGCUGAAAGCAUCUAAGCGUGAAGCCGACCCAAAGAUAAGAUAUCCCAUUGUUUCAAACAAGUAAGACCCCUUGAAGACUACAAGGUUGAUAGGCGCGAUGUGUAAGUGGAGCGAUCCAUUCAGCAAGCGUGUACUAAUAGGUCGAGGGCUUGACCUG
rnacentral:rRNA from 1 species